rnacentral:rRNA from 1 species
GAUGAACGCUGGCGGCGUGCCUAAUACAUGCAAGUCGAACGCGAGCAGCAAUGCUCGAGUGGCGAACGGGUGAGUAAUACAUAAGUAACCUGCCCUAGACAGGGGGAUAACAGUUGGAAACGACUGCUAAUACCGCAUAAUGUCAUUCGGAGGCAUCUCUGAGUGACCAAAGAUUUAUUGCUGAAAGAUGACCUCGCGUCUGAUUAGCUGGUUGGUGAGGUAAUGGCUCACCAAGGCGACGAUCAGUAGCCGGACUGAGAGGUUGAACGGCCACAUUGGGACUGAGAUACGGCCCAG